CUCUUCUCUUCUCUUUUUGGAUAUCAAAUCUCCAGGUUGGUGGUCUUGUAGCAGCUGCUUUUAAUCUAGCAUCAUGUAAUUUUUAACUUCCAGAACACUGUUUAUAUACUGUUUUGUGUUCAUUUUCCAGGCAGGUGUAGCAAAAGUUAGAGGACUCAAACAGAUUUUUGAGUAAUUAAUCCAGUUUGAUUCCCAGUAUUUCUGACAGUACAUGUCAGCUUAAUAGAUUUGCCUACAUAUUUAUUUCUCUUCUCUUCUCUUCUCUUCUCUUCUCUUUUUGGAUAUCCAGGUUGGUGGUCUUGUAGCAGCUGCUUUUAAUCUAGCAUCAUGUAAUUUUUAACUUCCAGAACACUGUUUAUAUACUGUUUUGUGUUCAUUUUCCAGGCAGGUGUAGCAAAAGUUAGAGGACUCAAACAGAUUUUUGAGUAAUUAAUCCAGUUUGAUUCCCAUUAUUUCUGACAGUACAUGUCAGCUUAAUUGAUUUGCCUACAUAUUUCAUUGUAUUGCCCCUCCUUAUAUUUAUUUGUAAUGUUAACAAAAAGAAAUCCUUAUGAUGAAUUGUGAUGGCAUCAUUUAGAAAUUUAGUUACUUGAUUUCAUUUUUUAAUACACCAUCUUUUGUCAGUUCUCUAAUCAAAGAAAGGACAAAGAAGUGCUAUGUGAUAAAAAAGCACAGUAUUUUGUUGUUAUUGGCAAUUUUUCCCUAUUUAGCACAAAAUAAUAACAGCAUAGGUUCAUAAGCAGUUUCCUUCUAGUUCCAUCAUUUUGAAGAAUUAAAGGUUCUCAAAUGUAAGAGGCUUAUGCUCUUUGUUGAAAAUAUGUAAGAGGAAUGGUUUGUGAGCUGUCUUCAUUAGGAAAUUAUUGUCUAGUCAUUUAGUGCCUAAGUAUGUGUAGAAAAAAGUGAGCUGGAAUUCAUGUCUUUGAUAUGUUCUUGGAAGUGUAUAGUAAAGAGCAUUUUUAGUCAUUUAUAAUUGGAUAUAUUGCUUUCAGUUAUUUGCAGUGAUAGGUUAUGCCUUGUCUUCAAUUAUUAUAAAUAUUUUCAUACCCAUAUCUUAAACAUUUUUGUAUGUAGAUAAGAAAAUGAAGUGUAUUCUGUGUCUAGAAGUUGUAUAUUUCAAAAAUAGCAAAGCAACCAUAAACUUCUGAUUAUCAGUUACUGAUAAAGUGGAAUGUGAAUUCUAGUAACAAUUUGAGAGGUGAAAAUGGUAUAGCCAUAGGAAAAAAGAGACAUGAUAAUUGUAUGCAGUUGAUUGCAGUGUUCGUCACUUUUUAUGUGGUGUGAUUUUGUGACUUUCAAUACCUUUAUGUUUGAUUAAUAAUUUUGCAAGGAAUGUAUUUUUUUAUGUUUUUAUUUUUGGUGAUGUAACACAUAAUAAAUAUAAAUGAUAAA